UGGGGAAUUUUGGACAAUGGGCGAAAGCCUGAUCCAGCCAUGCCGCGUGCAGGAUGAAGGCCUUCGGGUUGUAAACUGCUUUUGUACGGAACGAAAAGCCUCUUUCUAAUAAAGAGAGGCCAUGACGGUACCGUAAGAAUAAGCACCGGCUAACUACGUGCCAGCAGCCGCGGUAAUACGUAGGGUGCAAGCGUUAAUCGGAAUUACUGGGCGUAAAACGUGCGCAGGCGGUUUUGUAAGACAGAGGUGAAAUCCCCGGGCUCAACCUGGGAACUGCCUUUGUGACUGCAAGGCUGGAGUGCGGCAGAGGGGGAUGGAAUUCCGCGUGUAGCAGUGAAAUGCGUAGAUAUGCGGAGGAACACCGAUGGCGAAGGCAAUCCCCUGGGCUGCACUGACGCUCAUGCACGAAAGCGUGGGGAGCAAACAGGAUUAGAUACCCUGGUAGUCCACGCCCUAAACGAUGUCAACUGGUUGUUGGGUCUUCACUGACUCAGUAACGAAGCUAACGCGUGAAGUUGACCGCCUGGGGAGUACGCCGCAAGGUUG
rnacentral:rRNA from 1 species